AGGACGAACGCUGGCGGCGUGCCUAACACAUGCAAGUCGAACGAGGUCCAACCGGUAGCAAUACCGGUGAAGACCAAGUGGCGAACGGGUGAGUAGCGCGUGAGCAACCUGCCCCGAAGACCGGGACAACACCGGGAAACCGGUGCUAAUACCGGAUAUCCCCACCAAGUCGCAUGGCUCGGUGAGGAAAUGGAUUCCGCUUCGGGAGGGGCUCGCGGCCUAUCAGCUUGUUGGUGAGGUAACGGCUCACCAAGGCUUCGACGGGUAGCUGGUCUGAGAGGACGAUCAGCCACACUGGGACUGAGACACGGCCCAGACUCCUACGGGAGGCAGCAGUGGGGAAUCUUGCACAAUGGGCGAAAGCCUGAUGCAGCAACGCCGCGUGAGGGACGAAGGCUUUCUGAGUUGUAAACCUCUUUCAGCAGGGACGAUUGUGACGGUACCUGCAGAAGAAGCCCCGGCAACUACGUGCCAGCAGCCGC
rnacentral:rRNA from 1 species